rnacentral:lncRNA from 1 species
GAAAGGAAAGGAAAUUCAUUUACAAGGCCUUGCAAAGAAAUUCCUAGAGAGAGAGAAAAAAACCCAAUCCUGUUCAAUAUAGGGAAUUCAGUCAGUCACGCACAAACUUUUCCCCUCUUAUUUCUUCUCCAAACGCGCAUUCAAUUUGAUUUCCCACCCUAUUAAACACCAUUUCAACGAUACUUGUAUUCAUACCAUAAAUUAACAAGCGCCUUUUGAACAAUCCCAAAAUCAUCAGUUGUUGUGCAAAAAUUGCAGAGUUUUUUAUUGCUUGAAUUUGAUUGAGCG